AAAAAACAUUACCUGUGCCCAACGUUUUAUGGCCUUUGUCACUCCUCAAGUAGUCUCUCCAAAGGAGGAAUGUCUGACGUGCUAAACUAUAAACCAGGUUCUUCCCAAAGUUAGUUCGGCUUACACCCAGGAAUGAGCAAGGACAGCUUGGAGGUUAAAAGCAAGAUACAGUCAGGUCUCACAUCGAGGUCACGCUGAUGAAAAAGGAACUACAGUACUGUUAUGUCAGUAACAUACAUCACAGUCGUACGUCUCCAGGCUUCUUAUCUUCCUUUGAACCUGACCUGGCUACUGUUUGGUGGAUUAUAGAGGAAAAGCUGUAAUGGGAAAGUAGGUUGGGUGAAGGGAUGAGAAAAAGGAAAGCAUCGUGGAGCACAUUAGCAGGCUUUCUCCAUGAAGAAGCAGGAUGAGUACCUUCUCACUGCCAAAGUAGUUGGAGGGACAUCAAACACCAGUGAUGGGAACACUGAACCUCACAUAAGGGGCAAUGCAGCAUCUCUGCCUUCUUCUGGGUAUUCCUCUUAAAUGGCUUGACAAUAACCACCAACCAGCACUGCCAUACAUGUGUCCUGUACCUAUCAGAGGCACUAGGGCAGUUUUGGAACAGAGAGCCCAUAGAAAGGCUACUGCUUAGAGAUAGCCAUUUUCUUCUUGGAGCUGGACCAGUGAAUUAGACGCAUGGAGGAGAGCUGGAAAAUCCCUUUUUGGAAGAGCUACACAAAACCAAAAUUUGGAAUUCGUAGCUAAUAACCAUAAAAAUUAAGAAAUGACUGUUGGAAGAGCACUGGAAAUCACCUGAUUAAGUUAAGAAAAACUAACUAGCUCAUGAGAAAAUUAUUUUCAGGCCAGCUGUAGCCUGUACCCUUUUGAAAAUCCCCUGACUAGUGAGUUCAUUUUUGUUGGAAUAUAGAAUUUUUCUUUUCUAAGCAGAUGUAAACUUGUCUUUCUGUGGUUGGCUUUGGAGCCCACAAGAUAAUUAAAUGGCAGUGCUAACUGAAAGCCUGGGCUGUGCUUAUAGGCAGGCCGUUCCUGAGAUCUUCCCAAAACCAAAGGUAUUGAAGAGACACAUGUAAC
rnacentral:lncRNA from 1 species